CUUUAGGAAUGAGUCCCCUGCCCCCAACAGUGGGAAAUCUCCCUGGAUAAAAUGCCAGUCGGGCAAUUAAAAGUAUACUGCCGAGCAUCUUGACCAAAUAGACUCUUUUGCCAAUCAAAGGCUGGCAGCCAUUGUGUUCAGCAGCAACUCAUUGUAGGCCUAAGCUGUUAGCUGCACAACAACACUGAAGACCAGAACCAGCAAAAAGGACUACUUCAGUGUUGCAGCAAAGCGGAAACCUAAUUGAGAACUACAAACAUUUGUGCAAAAGAUAAGUAUGGAUUUGGGAGGCAUGAUCAUAGACAAGGACUCUGAAGAGAAAAUGAAGAUUGGAGAAUUUAAUCUGACCACUGAAUUCAAGUUGAGAAGAUACUAAAGACAAAUCUUAGGGUAUUUCUCAAACAUCACUGCCAUGAUGGGUUUGGGCAGGACAAGUGGUGUAAAGUAUAACCUGAUGAAAAGGCUGCAAGAAGGUGCAAAGACAUUAUCUACAAAUUAAGCUUCAAUAAAAUCCAAGAUGAUAAAAAAAACCUGGAAUAAUUCAUGAAUGAUGAAGAUAUUACCUCAA